GACGGUGACUCCAACGGUUGGCUGAGGACGAUUCCCUGAGCCUUGACAAAGCAGGAGCCCUCCGUGGCGGUGCGUCGGUGUCGAGGCUCCAGUCUGACUAAUCCAGGGGGUCGACAAAACAGAUUCGGGACACUAUGCUACACGGAGGGCCUACCAGGAUGCAGAAACAGCAGACGGAGUCCAGGGAAAGCAGUGCGGCAUCCCAGCCUCAGGCCUGCCCGUACGGUGUUCGGCAAGACAAAUCUCUCCUCUGCCUUCUCCUUAUCAGACUACUCAACAUGAAGGCAAUAAGAAUGAAGACCUCUAUGUAUAAUAAUUGACUUCCACUUAAUAAAUAGCUAGCUUGGACUUGUUCUGAUGGAAAUAGCAGGAGUCCCAACUACAAGAGUUGCAAUGUCAAGGCCUCAUCUUAUAACUGGCACAUAGGUCACUUCCACCAUAUUCUUUUUGCUAACGAAAGUCACAAAGUCAGUCCAUGUUCAAGUAGAGGGGAAACUGACUCCACCACUUGAUGUGAAGAGUUGGAAUAUCAUAGUUAUUGUUUCUUGUGACUUGCCAUAGCGUAUUUUCUCACACUAACAACUCUGUAUUUCUUCCCAAAUUCUGAAAAAUUCUUUUGUUGGCUCUUCCUGUACUUGAUUCAUUACAUUAAGUUUUCCAUUUAAAUGUUAUUUCCUUGGAAAGACUUUAUCAUUUGUCAAGUAGGUGUAUUCUCUUCAUCAGUUACUCUAUUUUCUCAUUACAAUAUGAACUUUGUAAAAAUGGGAACUUUACUUUGUUUAUGCCAGUAGUUUAUAUACAUUUUCUGUUACGUGAAAAGUACAAAAUGUUUUUUUCAUGGUUAAAGAAAUAAAAGAAUAAAUAUGUAAUCACUGCAA
ensembl:lncRNA MIR663AHG MIR663A host gene